GCAAUCAUAAGAGGCACCGACCUCGGAAAUUGACCGCUCACACUAAACCAAUUCAGCUGGCCUAGAGAAAGGUCCAGGCAACAAAGAGCCCGCAAAACGCUCGAGAGAAGACAACCCAUAAAUACUCAGGGGCAAAAAACAUACACGAGAGUCCAACGCUCAGACAAAAAUAAUAAAAAGGCAAGAAAGGGAUACUUUCGACAAGAGCAGUUCUCAGACCGCACGGUCAUGAAUAGAGUUUAAAGAUUUAUCCCCUCACCAGUCAUGGAAUAACUGCUGAGGAAAUAAAGGGGCAAUUGAUGAUCGCUGGAUUUCUUCACCCCGGUAUAAAGGCCAGGCCCAUGAAAACAGUCCAUGAUCCGAAGGCUUCAAUAUUCCCCUCGAGAGCCAGGUCCAGCCCGCUCAGUCACAGGGCCGGACUCCGCCUAGACUCCUCAAUCAAACCGGCCCAAACCUCUCGGCCCAGUAAUCAGGCCCUCACCCGGCUCAACUUCAGCCCUACCAUUCAACCCAGCCCGGAAAGGGGAAAAUGACCAAGAUGCCCCGCUGGUAGGUCCUUCCGCAUGCGUAUCAGAGGAGAAUCAUACGUAUCAGAGGAUAAUUAAUGGCCGUUACGCAUGGAGCAGGCGCCUGACACAUCCGUACAUACGGAGCUAGGCGACAGAAGACAGCUAGCAUUGUGGCAGAGAGACAGAUAUAUAUAUCACGGUAGAGGCCACGCAGAGGGGGGCUCUCAUCUUCUUCUUCUUUCUCCUUCCUGGACACCAUUUUUAU
rnacentral:lncRNA from 1 species